GCGGGUAUAGCCAAGUGGACAAAGGCGGCGGCCUGCAAAGCCGCAAACAUCGGUUCAAAUCCGAUUGCCCGCUCCA
rnacentral:tRNA from 2 species